rnacentral:lncRNA from 1 species
CGCAAUUCCCUCAGUCCCUUUGGAGGCUCAUAAAUAUCUCACCUUCUCCAACACGACUGAGCUGAGAAUGGACCAUUCCAAAGAGACACAGCCUAGAAGGAGCAAACACACAUGUUUCUUAAUGGGUUCACAGCCUUCACAGGAUUCCCACCCACUCAGCGUUCCAGGAAGCCUGUAGUCAUGGAAAUUACAUUCUUUUUAUUACCUUCAUGUCAAUAGAGGCUCCAGGAAACAAGAGCAUAUGGCCUCAGCGGGUCUCCCAUGUUGCUAAGGUCUUUAGCAGCUCUGGGCCCAUUGACCUCCCUGGGUUGCACAUUCCUGAUCUUUUCAGGUUUGGGGACAUGCCAUAGGCCUGGAUGUGCAAUUUCUGGGCACGAAGUAGCUAAGGAACAUUUCACCGGCACCUGAGCACCCAAUACAGCCGUCCCGAGGUGCAGAUCUCACAGCCUCAGAGUCGGGAGAGACCGAGGAGAGUUUGCAGUCCAACCCCAAGGACACGGAGGCCCAAGGAGGGGUGAGUGAAUCCCACCACCUGGAAGCCACAGGAGAGAGAAUUUUCUGCAGCUCCCACUGUCCCACCUCCUCACCCCACCUUGGCUGCACCCUCAACACAGGUAAAGAGGGCUGGACCAGAGUGUAGAGUGGCCCUCCCCCCACAUCCCUGCCAGGCCCCUUCCCUGGAGAAGAGGCUCGACUGCCGGGCCCAACCCUGGGGGGGUUUAGACUCAGGAGGGCUGACGUCAACAUCAACAUCAACAUCCUGCAGUGGCCUUGCAAGCAGGGCACGUCCCACGACUGGCUUGGGCCUCCUGGCUCCAGCUGCAAAGCACAGAAGACAGGUUGAUGCUUGUGGCCUUGUGGCCAGGAGACGGAGAGCGCCCUCUUGUCUGCUCUGGGCCUGUCCAGGAUGACAGUCGCCUGGCACGUAGUGGGUACGUAAGAGAAGCUUGUGAAAUUGGAUAGAAUAAAACUGAAUUUCAUAUUCCCCAUUUCUAUUUCAUUUAUUUGGCACCUACUGUUCCCCUCAAACCAGGCCCUGCUGCUCACUUUCUCUGUGCAGGCCUUGUCAAUUCUAACUCUCAUCUCUUUGCUCAGGCUGUGCCUGCUGCCUAGAAUGCCU